rnacentral:rRNA from 1 species
AGAGUUUGAUCAUGGCUCAGGAUGAACGCUGGCGGCGUGGAUAAGGCAUGCAAGUCGAACGGUCCGAGAGGAGUCGCAAGAUUUCUCUCGGGUAGUGGCAGACGAGGUAGUAACACGUAGGUACGUACCCCCGAGUCAGGGAUAACCAGCCGAAAGGUUGGCUAAUACUUGAUAGUCCUUCCGAGGUAAAGAUUUAUCGCUCGGGGAACGGCCUGCGCAGUAUCAGCUAGUUGGUGAGGUAAUGGCUCACCAAGGCUAUGACGCUUAGGGGCGCUGAGAGGCGGACCCCCACCGAUGGAACUGAGAUACGGUCCAUACACCUACGGGUGGCUGCAGUCGAGAAUCUUCCACAAUGGACGAAAGUCUGAUGGAGCGACGCCGCGUGGUUGAGGAAGUCCUUCGGGAUGUAAAAACCUUUUACAAGGGAGGAAGUUUUGACGUUACCUUGUGAAUAAGGGGUUGCUAAACUCGUGCCAGCAGCAGCGGUAAUACGAGUGCCCCGAGCGUUAUCCGGAAUUAUUGGGCGUAAAGCGUGCGUAGGCGGUCGCGUUAGUCCUCUGUUAAAGCCCCAGGCUCAACCUGGGAAAGGCAGGGGAGACGGCGCGACUCGAGGACAUGAGAGGUAUGCGGAACUCAUAGUGUAGGGGUGAAAUCCGUUGAUAUUAUGGGGAACACCGAAUGCGAAGGCAGCACACUGGCAUGUUCCUGACGCUGAGGCACGAAAGCGUGGGUCGCGAAUGGGAUUAGAUACCCCAGUAGUCCACGCCCUAAACGAUGCUCGCUGGCUUUUCAGGAAUCGACCCUCUGAGAGGCGAAGCUAACGCGUUAAGCGAGCCGCCUGGGUAGUACGGCCGCAAGGCUAAAACUCAAAGGAAUAGACGGGAACUCGCACAAGCGGUGGAUCAUGUGGCUUAAUUCGUCGAUAAGCGAAAAACCUUACCAGGGUUAGAAAUCUGCACGAAAGCACUAAGAAAUUAGAGCCCUCGCAAGACGGGCAGACAGGUGAUGCAUGGCCGUCGUCAGCUCGUGGUUUGAACUGUUCCCUUAAGUGGGGUAACGAGCGCAACCCUCGUCGUGUGUUUCAAGUGUCACACGAGACUGCCCCCGCACGGGUACCGAAACGGAAACGUUUGGGUGUCGGUGCGGGGGAGGAAGGCGAGGAUGACGCCAGGUCCGCAUGUCCCUCUGAUACCCUGGGCUGCACACGUGAUACAAUCGGUCGGGACAGUGGGGCGCAAUGGCGCGAGCCGGAGCAAACCCCCAAACCCACCGCCAGUUCGGAUUGCAGUCUGCAACUCGACUGCAUGAAGCCGGAAUCGCUAGUAAUCGCAGAUCAGCACGCUGCGGUGAAUACGUUCUCGAGUCUUGUACUCACCGCCCGUCAACUCAAGGGAGCUGGGAGUACCCGACGCCAUCGUUCAUCGGUGGUUACGGUAAGCUCAGUAACAGGGAGUAAGUCGUAACAAGGUA